AAAAACAAAAAUAGAAAAAAUAAAUGGUCAUUCUUUAUUUUCCACUCUCUCUCUUCAAAUCAAAACCAAACGAAAGGGCUCUGUACAGAGCGCCUCCCUCUGCAAACCCUAAAGCUCCUCUCUCUUAGAGAGGACGACUGGAGACGGCGGCUCACGGCGGAGCCUCCGCUCUCCUUCGUCGCUUCAUUCUCUCCCGUUCCUAACUCUGAUUCAUGAACCAACCCUCUUUCUCCUUCUCAUAAUUUCGAGACACACAAUAUAAAAUCAUGCGAAAACAAACUCAAUCAAAAUAUCUACAAAAAAGGGAAACUCAUGGAAGAAGAUAGGUGUGAAUCGUUUACCAAAUCGGAAGCUCUGAAAAUCUCCGGGUUCGGUGAGAUCCUCCGGAUGUCGGCAACGGUUCUCUUCGGCGAGCGAUUCUUCAGUGAGGUUAUAGGAAUGAAGUGACCUUGAUGGAAUGGAAAAGUGGCGGUAAGAAAGCACACUUGGAGGCGCGCCCAAGUCCAAGGGGUUUUCAAUUUGAUUACUUGGUCUUGGUCAUUAGAAUUAGGAACAUGUUUUUGCAGCAAAUUCCACUUAGUUAAAAUGUGUAUUUGGACUUAUCUGUAACUUAUUGAAUUAAAUCUAAUAGCCACUAAUAACUAUGUAUUCAA